rnacentral:rRNA from 1 species
UACGAAGGGGGCUAGCGUUGCUCGGAAUUACUGGGCGUAAAGCGCACGUAGGCGGAUUGUUAAGUCGGGGGUGAAAUCCUGGAGCUCAACUCCAGAACUGCCUUCGAUACUGGCGAUCUCGAGUUCGGGAGAGGUGAGUGGAACUGCGAGUGUAGAGGUGAAAUGCGCAGAUAUCCGAAGGAACACCGGUGGCGAAGGCGGCUUCCUGGACCGACACUGACGCUGAGGCGCGAAAGCUAGGGGAGCAAACGGG